rnacentral:rRNA from 1 species
UACGUAGGGCGCAAGCGUUGUCCGGAAUUAUUGGGCGUAAAGAGCUCGUAGGCGGCUUGUCACGUCGGGUGUGAAAGCCCGGGGCUUAACCCCGGGUCUGCAUCCGAUACGGGCAGGCUAGAGUGUGGUAGGGGAGAUCGGAAUUCCUGGUGUAGCGGUGAAAUGCGCAGAUAUCAGGAGGAACACCGGUGGCGAAGGCGGAUCUCUGGGCCAUUACUGACGCUGAGGAGCGAAAGCGUGGGGAGCGAGCAGG